GGGAGAGCUGGCUGCGGGAGAAGUGGAGCUGGCCCUGGGUAUGACCUGUAAGAUGCUCUUGUAUUUCAGAUGUCCAUGAGAAGUCAACGUGGGAGAGUGUGGGCAUCUCCCUGGGGGAGGAGAAGCCCCAGGGGAUGACCCUGCUGCCCGUUGUAGAGAAGGCCAUUCCUGUGACCACAUAGGCCAAACUGAGUCAGGCUGCCAGGCCUGACUGGGGUUUUUGCUUCAGUGGUGGCCACAGGCAUUGCUACUGCCAAAGGCACCCUGGGUCCUGGAGCGAGGUCUGUCGUAGGUUAGGGAGAGCUGGGUGUGGGGAGCAGGCUAUGCACAGACAGCCAACAGGAAGAAAGCCACAUGGACACUGCAGUGGACACCAGAGAGGUCCAAGUGGCACUUUCUUUCUUUUUUUAAUAUUUAUUUUUCAGGACACAACACAAUGCCUUUAUUUCUAUGUGGUGCUGAGGAUCGAACCUGGGUCCUGCCCAUGCUAGGUGAGCACUCUACCGCUGAGCCACAAUCCCAGCCCCCAACUGGCACUUUCACCAAAACACCCCAGCCUGUCUGGAUCACUUUCUCCUGCUACCUCCCACCUGAGUUUCCCCUUUGAUCCAUCAACCCGUGUGGGUUGAUCAUGGUGCAGCCCAGAGCUCCUGGAGGGAAGAGUCCAGUUGUGGUGACCCUGCCAGCUCCUGUCCAUUUCUCCCUCCUUCUUUUCUUCUGGGUGUCAGCCAUUCUUUGUGUCCCUUUCACUCUUACUGCCUUGCUUCUCUCUCUUUUCUCUUUGGGUGCUGUCAUCUCUCUUUCUCUCUGUCCUUCCUGCCUUCAUUCAUUUAGCAAACACUGGCUGUGUGCUGGGGAUGCAGAAAUGUAGCAGACACACCCCUGCAGGAGCUCAGAGUCUGGGGGAGGCAGAUGAGUAAGCAGACAAACGCAGUUGGGUCUGGUAAGUGCUGGGGCAGCAGCAUGCAGGAGAGACAAGGGACCACGGAGGAGGGAGUAAGCGGCAGCUUUGCUGGAGGAAACCAAGGAAGGUUUCACAGAGGAGGUGACAUUUGAACUGGGGCUUUCCAUAGGACCAGGAAUUUCCCAGGUAGAUAAGCAUGGUAAGGGAUUCCAGGUAG
rnacentral:lncRNA from 1 species